rnacentral:rRNA from 1 species
UACGGAGGGAGCUAGCGUUGUUCGGAAUUACUGGGCGUAAAGCGCACGUAGGCGGAUCGUUAAGUCGGGGGUGAAAUCCUGGAGCUCAACUCCAGAACUGCCUUCGAUACUGGCGAUCUUGAGUCCGGAAGAGGUGAGUGGAACUCCUAGUGUAGAGGUGGAAUUCGUAGAUAUUAGGAAGAACACCAGUGGCGAAGGCGGCUCACUGGUCCGGUACUGACGCUGAGGUGCGAAAGCGUGGGGAGCGAACAGG